UGAAGAGAGGAGCUUGCUCUUCUUGGAUGAGUUGCGAACGGGUGAGUAACGCGUAGGUAACCUGCCUGGUAGCGGGGGAUAACUAUUGGAAACGAUAGCUAAUACCGCAUGAUAUUAAUUGUCGCAUGAUAAUUAAUUGAAAGAUGCAAUUGCAUCACUACCAGAUGGACCUGCGUUGUAUUAGCUAGUUGGUGAGGUAACGGCUCACCAAGGCGACGAUACAUAGCCGACCUGAGAGGGUGAUCGGCCACACUGGGACUGAGACACGGCCCAGACUCCUACGGGAGGCAGCAGUAGGGAAUCUUCGGCAAUGGGGGGAACCCUGACCGAGCAACGCCGCGUGAGUGAAGAAGGUUUUCGGAUCGUAAAGCUCUGUUGUAAGAGAAGAACGGGUGUGAGAGUGGAAAGUUCACACUGUGACGGUAUCUUACCAGAAAGGGACGGCUAACUACGUGCCAGCAGCCGCGGUAAUACGUAGGUCCCGAGCGUUGUCCGGAUUUAUUGGGCGUAAAGCGAGCGCAGGCGGUUAGAUAAGUCUGAAGUUAAAGGCUGUGGCUUAACCAUAGUAUGCUUUGGAAACUGUUUAACUUGAGUGCAGAAGGGGAGAGUGGAAUUCCAUGUGUAGCGGUGAAAUGCGUAGAUAUAUGGAGGAGCACCGGUGGCGAAAGCGG
rnacentral:rRNA from 1 species